rnacentral:misc_RNA from 1 species
AAGUCGUAACAAGGUUUCCGUAGGUGAACCUGCGGAAGGAUCAUUAAAAGAUAUGGCAUAUUCCAUGUGGAUAUACCCAAUCAACCCAUUCUGAGUACCUUACCUGUUGCUUUCACACAGUGCCUGCGCUCUCUUGUGUAGACAUCCGAAGCCGGCAUUAGCUUGUUGGCCUUGGACAUGUGUGAAAGGUAUACAUCAAACUCUUGCAUUACCAUGUAUUCUGUCUGAUUAUGUUUAAUACAAAAAAAUAUUAAAACUUUCAACAACGGAUCUCUUGGUUCUC